rnacentral:rRNA from 1 species
CCUACGGGAGGCAGCAGUGAGGAAUAUUGGUCAAUGGACGCAAGUCUGAACCAGCCAAGCCGCGUGCAGGAAGACGGCUCUAUGAGUUGUAAACUGCUUUUGUACGAGGGUAAACGGAGACACGCGUAUCUGUCUGAAAGUACCGUACGAAUAAGGAUCGGCUAACUCCGUGCCAGCAGCCGCGGUAAUACGGAGGAUUCAAGCGUUAUCCGGAUUUAUUGGGUUUAAAGGGUGCGUAGGCGGUCGGAUAAGUUAGUGGUGAAAGCCCGAGGCUCAACUUCGGAAUUGCCUCUGAUACUGUUCGGCUAGAGUGUAGUUGCGGUAGGCGGCAUGUGUGGUGUAGCGGUGACAUGCUUAGAUAUCAUGCAGAACUCCGAUUGCGAAGGCAGCUUACCAAGCUACUUCUGACGUUGAGGCACGAAAGCGUGGGGAUCAAACAGGAUUAGAUACCCCAGUAGUC